UAGGGAAUCUUCCGCAAUGGACGCAAGUCUGACGGAGCAACGCCGCGUGAGUGAAGAAGGAUUUCGGUUCGUAAAACUCUGUUGUUAGAGAAGAACAGCGCAUAGAGUAACUGUUAUGCGUGUGACGGUAUCUAACCAGAAAGCCACGGCUAACUACGUGCCAGCAGCCGAGGUAAUACGUAGGUGGCAAGCGUUGUCCGGAUUUAUUGGGCGUAAAGCGAGCGCAGGCGGUCAAUUAAGUCUGAUGUGAAAGCCCCCGGCUCAACCGGGGAGGGUCAUUGGAAACUGGUUGACUUGAGUGCAGAAGAGGAGAGUGGAAUUCCAUGUGUAGCGGUGAAAUGCGUAGAUAUAUGGAGGAACACCAGUGGCGAAGGCGACUCUCUGGUCUGUAACUGACGCUGAGGUUCGAAAGCGUGGGUAGCAAACAGG
rnacentral:rRNA from 1 species